rnacentral:rRNA from 1 species
AUGGUGUUGCUUGACAUUAGGGGUACGUUGUAGUCCAUGGGCAAAGACAUAGCUGAUUUUGCUCUUCCAUGCAUUGACGAUGCAUUCAACCGAACCGAGGGCGAGUCCAGAGAAGUGAUCGAGGAAUCGAACGUCGAUUUUGACAUCCACAACACUAAAUUGGCAUCAUCGCUAAACUUGAAGCAGAGGGUUGCAUACGACGAGAUACUAGCUGCUGUUGAACACGGUGAUGGGGGUGUUUUAUUUGUUGAUGGCCCGGGAGGUACAGGGAAGACCUUAUACAGGGCGCUGCUCGCCAAGGUUCAAAGCGAGGGAAACAUCGCUAUCACUACCGGGUCGUCAAGCGUCGCGGCUUCUAUCAUGCCUAGAGGCCGUACUCCCCACUUGAGGUUCAAGAUCCCAUUGAGCUGCGACGAUGGCGCCUCCUGCACCUUCACGAAGUAG